GCCCUGAGGUUUUCUCUCUGUUUUCUUUACAGGGUACAGCUCUGCCGGGGGGGGAAAAAGUGGUACCAUUUUGGGCGUUCUUGAGCUUCAGAAUGCAACCAGACAUGUCCUUGAAUGUCAUUAAGAUGAAAUCCAGUGACUUCCUGGAGAGUGCAGAACUGGACAGCGGAGGCUUUGGGAAGGUGUCUCUGUGUUUCCACAGAACCCAGGGACU
rnacentral:lncRNA from 1 species